UGAGUAAUUAGUAUUUAAAUGGCAGUAUUUUAGUAUAAUAUAGUAUUUUUUUUUCAUUUAUGUUAUAUUAAGGUUUGUUUAUUUUUGUUUUUUGCCUUUUUUUUAAUGACUGUACAUUAAAAAAAUUACAGUUGGUGAUUGGGUUAACUUGUUGGUUACACUAAUUAUUUAUAUAAUUAGAUCAAUACACAAUGCUGGAAAACCAUUAAGUCUAGGAUGUCCUGCAGCCGCAGCACACCUCUGUCUGAUGGAAAGUUAAACAAGCUGCAAAUGUUGGCUUUGUAAACCAGUGUGGUUCUGCACUAAAGUGAUUUAUAAUAACUGUAGUUAUGCCACACUAGUGACCUAUUAUCUUAUUACCUGAGUUAACAACUAUAGUAUGUUCAUAGUAUGUUCUGCACAGUCCAAAGGGGAUCACAUUUCAGUAAAAUUGAAAAUAACAAGAUUGCAGAAGAAUGCAGUCUUUCUUUUCUUUUCCUUUUUUUUUUAAAUUAAUGAGAAUUCUUUACCUUGGUUUAUUUCAUUGACUGUCUCCUCACUUGAAGACUAUUUGACAAGUCUGAUUUUGUUUUCCACCUUCUUUUGUUAAAUACUACUCAGUUAUUUGCCAGGAUUAUCCUUAUUUGAAAUUGUAUCAUCAUUAUAACAGUCUCCUAUAUCCUUGUGUCAUUAUUACCUUUGUGGCCUUAUUGACAUCUAAUAGGUUUCCAGUCACUAAGCUUUUUUUUAAUAUGUUUCUUUGGGGGUUUUUUUUAAAAUAAUUUUUCCCCUCUGCCCCAUCAAAGUGUUCUUCGGCAUCGUUGGAGCCAUUGCUGUUUGUUGUUGUUGUGUGUUUUACCACAAAAACAGCAAAAAAGGAAAGCGGUAAAGUUAUGUUUUAUUGAACUUUGCUGACUAACCCUUGAAAUAGCUUUGUCCUUGUAAUGGCUUUGUGUUGCUUGCUUCUCAGCUACUCAUUAAUUUUCCACCUUUUCUUUCUAUCCAAGCUUUGUAUAAUCUUAGUGUUGCAUGUUGAAACUUUGUACUUUUCGUAAGGCUUCCUGGAUAAUGUAUUUCUCUACUACAGUGUUAUUUUUCCUACACAGAGCUGUAGGGUUUAGCUCAGUCUCAAAUGACCUAUGCUGGUUUUAAUCACAUUUUUGAUAAUCACAAUUAAAUUAAAAAAAAAAAAAAAAAACAGCCAAUUUCAGCUGGUAGUAAAGCAUGUAGUGUUUUAAAAUAAUGAAUUAGGUGAGUAGUGGUUUAAAUUGUGUUGUUACAUACAACAUUUUUCAUAUGUUGAUGCUUGGCUAUGUCCCUUUCUGAGGCAAUGCGACUGCUGUGAAUACCACGACAAAGAUUUUGUUUCAUUUGCAUUAGCUUAUGUACCAUAGCUAAUUCUUAGAUUUCAGGGCUGUGAAUAUGGUCAAAGAAAUGCAUCUCAUUUUUUAGAUUUUUAAAACUUUCUAUUGAUUAAAUUUACCUGUACAAUGGGAAGUGUGUUCUAUACCAGUGACACAUUUCCAGAGAAGCGUUGUAUGAAACUCGGUGGCUUUCCUGUUGUGGACUUCAAAGUCUUACACUUAGGUGUUGGACUUGACAAACUGAGGGUAUCAGUGAGGUAGAUUCACAUACAUAUAAUACAAUCUAUAGUGGAGGAUAGAACUUGACAAGGGAGCAUUUGGUGGUGGUAUAAUAAUUUAUUCCUGCAGAAUCUUAUCAUUAUUUGUAUUUAUAAGAGAAAUAUAAACAGCCCAAAUAGUAUGUAGGCAUAGUUUACAAAGUAUAUUGUAAUCUCUUUAGUCGCAUGAAGGAUUUUAAUUACGUUUUGGAACAUCUGAUAUUAAUUUGCUAUUUAUUUUAGCUUUGAUUGGAGUCUUUAAAAAAAAAAGAAAGAAAAAAAGCCAAAUAUGCUGUUAUUGAUGAAGUUUUAUUGACCUGUUUGUUUCUGCUAACAGGAAUGAACAGGUAAUAUUUCGUAUCUCAUCAAACAAAUUUGGCUGUUUUGACUAUAAGAGGUGAAAGAGUAGCUGCAGGCACGGGUGCUGCUUGUGUGGGGUGGUCCUUGUGAUGAGUGGUAUGUAGUCCUGUGGUGGUUUCUGUGGACUUCUUCAUUCCAUGUAGCUUUCUGUUUGCUUUGUUGUAUAUUAUCAAUAAUGUUGACCAGUCAUUACUGGAUUACAGCACUCGAAGAGGCAAUACUGACAAAGAUGCUACAAAUGUGGGAGAGGAUGUACUGUAGCACUCUCGUAAGCAUGGCAGCCUGGCUACUCCACGACUGCUGUUUAUAAAAACAGCUUCCUAAGAAGAAUGCCAAAGGACCAGUCUUGAAUGUACAGGCCCUCCGUGUGCACGCAUUUGCCUGAAGUUUCUGAGCAACUCUCUUAAAAUUGGUUUCCAAAGACCGAGAAACAUCUUUGGAUUGGGACACGUUAUGCUUCAAGUGGCUUGUCUCAUGACUUUCAGUAUUCUGAUCAUUAGGAAGAAACUGAUGAAUAUUUAUCAGAAAAGCUAAAAUUCUAUGUUAAAUUUAUCUGUUGCACUGUAGUAAAGGAACACCACUUGACCAUUGUAGUUUAUUUAAACAGAUGGUGUAAAACAAGCAAAAUUAGCACAUUGUCUGUUUGGUUGUCAUAUGGCUUAACUGAAGUUUAGCCAAAAUAAUUAGAUACUAUGUAACUACUCAUUUGGAUCAAAUAAAUUUGUUGGAACAGUUUGGUGUGUAUAUAGGACUGCUGGUUGAUGAACCAGUCCUGUACUUAUGACUUGCAGAAAGAAAGUGGAAAAAAAAAAAGAAGAAAGUUGGAUCUGUAAAAUGGCCCCAAACCUAAAUGUAAGGCAUUUUUGAUUGUUUUAGCUUGUGCUUCAUUUAAAUAGUUGUGAAUUUCAUGAAUGUUAACCCAGUUAUUGGGUAUAAAAACUGCCUGCAGUGUUUGGCCUUUAAUAAUGUCAGCACCUUGUUUUUUUUGAAUUUGCCAAAAUGAGUUUAAAGUCUCUUAAUGUAUGCUCAAUCAUCCAGGAAAGGAAAUCCCAAAAAGUUGAUUCUGUUCAUCUGGACUCGUCUUCAGUCUCAGCUGAGACUGAAGAAGUCACUUGGAUGAAUGAUGAAAAACGUUUCUCUGGAAAGAAGUCACUUGGAUGAAUGAUGAAAAACGUUUCUCUGGAAAUGCUAUGAUGAACAGAAUCAACUCUUUGGGAUUGAGUUUCAAGGUCUCAUUGACAAGGGGGAGAAAAAAAAAUCUUAAACUUGGAUUUCAUGUCUUUUAAACGUCUUUGUGUAUAUCAUCCUGUCACUGCAUCAGUUUUUUUUUUUUUUUUUAAUGAUCUUUUGACUACUCACUGUUCAGGACAUGAAGAUAAAUAUUUUGAGUAUUAGCACACUUGUCUUGCUUAAUAUUUAUUUAUUCAAAUAAAAUCUUUUCUUUUUAAGUAGAUUUAAAUUGUUGUCUUUGGGACAAAAUUUUAUAUUAAUAAAAUAAAAUGAAUGAAGACAA